AUCAUAGAAGCAUUUGCAUCACACCCUGCCGUGCCGGCAAAUUGGAUAAUUACACGAUCAUCUUUGCCUAGAUCUCACUUGUUGGUACACCUGUCUCCAGGGGUGGACUCCAAAUCAGGGGAUUUUGUCAGGCAAGGUGCAGGAGGAGAAAGAUAGCGAUGGGGACAGCCAGAUUCCAGCUGUGAGGCACCACUAACGAGCUGCAGCCCCAGGUAACACGGCAAGUAGAUGUAACGACUGAAGUUCUUUUGUCGGCAGCCAAUAGGAACCAACUACUUAACCAUCCUUCUUCAGAAAUACCCAGCAUCCCCUUCACUCCAGAGACCCAGACCUAGAAGUUGGGUGAACGAUCAUUUCUCCCCAGCAUGCUGGCUUGGAUCAGGAUUUUGUUCACUAAAAACCAUAUUGUUUUGUCAAUACGAAAUGGAAAUGCUUAGCUGAGAUGCAUGUUGACUUCAACAACUGCAACCACUUUCAGUUUCUAUCUUGCUCAGAUUCAAAAUUCAGAUUUCCUAGGAAAGAGAAUCUAAUAGUCCCCGCUCGGCUAAUGUGUCCAUUCCUGGAUCAACUGGCUACAGGCUGAGAUGCCACAUGGUGCAGAACAGCCAUGAUUGCCACCAUGGGGAGCUCAUGGAGGCAUUGCUGAAAGAGGCAAGGACUGUUGUGAGCCAGGAGGCCCACCCAGGAAUCUCUACAGGGGGUCAGGGCAAAGGCAGGGCCUUACUUAGAUUUCCUCCUCACAAACGACCUGCUCCUCCAGCAGAGAAUUCCACACUGUCUUCACACUUUUACUUCAUAGAUAGUCCUUUGUUGCUACAGCGUGCUGUCUUUGAGGGUGGGGAAGGUGGAAGAUGAAAUGGCUGAGAAGACCCUUGCCCCUUAUCAAUGAACGGACCAUCUUCUCAAGCGCGUAUUCUCUCUUGGAUCAUGUUGAGUUCUUACUCACUCUACUUCUCCAUGAGACAGCACUCUGCUUCUGCAUAAGGAAGCCCUACAGACAAUGGCUGGAAGGUCUGAUGUGACUCACCAGGGUUUGAGAAACGUUUCCUCACAAGCCAUUAGUCUAGAGGAAAAAGUUCGACUGAUCAGCACUGUUCCCACUCCUGGUAGAAGUAGCUUGUCUAUUUUUGGAAAUGGUACCUCCAAAUCCACUCCAACAGCUUGGUUCCAAGGAAAACCAUCACUCAUAACACCCUGACCCCCACCCCCACCAUCGACUGAUUCCAGGGCCAGGCAAGGGAGUCACGCUGUGUCAGUUGGAGUUCUUCCACAGAACAUUUUAAAUUGGAACUUAAAAUUCCUCCAUGGUAACAAUACUUGGAUCAUACAAGCCCCAAAGACACCCUCCAUCAUAUCUCUAUAUUGUGGAGAAAGGGAUCUGAGAGUGAUGCUAAAAUGCAGAGAAAAACAGAAAUGAGAGACAGGAGGGGUGAGAGGCCUGACACUGAUUGCUUCCUGGACCCAGCUAUCCCUGAACCCUGGCUCUGUCUCUUCCCUUCCUGUGGUUUGGACACAUAAGACAAUACACCCCCAUUUUUAUCCUAAGCUAGCCUGGGUUUGGGUCUGGAUAUUACAACCAAAACAUUCUGACUGCUACAGAAACAAUCAUUUGUGGAAUUGGAGAGGAUGCAGCUGUGGCCAGUGCCCCACUCAUGGCCCCUCAACACUCCCCAGCCGAGUGCUGCCCACCCACAGCCCCAGCUCUAAGCCUGCAGACCUGCACCAGACGUCUCCCCAAGUCUUCUCGGAACACACGCGCAGGGCAGGCCCGGAGUGCCAGGGAGGUAACACCUGUGAGAGUAGUGCGUACUCUCGGUUCCCUCACCCCUCUUUGGUAUAAUGCAUUUUUGCUGCACGUGUUGUCCCUGAGUUCUCUGCCCGCAUGAGCCCCUGUCACCCACACUCAGUCACCUGCUUGAUAGUGUACCUAGGUUCCUUCCUUUCUGCAUCUCACUUCCCUAGUGGUGUUUCUAGAGAUGCCGCUGUGCUCACAAUCCUUGCCUCAGGGUCUGCUUCUGCGGAAACCCCAAUUGAGACAACAGAUACCAGGUUGUUCUCUUGGGACUCUAACUGUGUCACCGUGUAGAAGAUUAGAGAUGCCAUGAAUUCUUUGACAUUCCUCCCACUGGGAAUUUGGGGUUAUCUUGCCUUGAAUCUGAG
ensembl:lncRNA